GUUGUCCAGCCUCUUUGGGUCUGAUACUCUAGACUCUUCGUAAAAAGAAGAAGAUGGAUCUGACUCUGACUGUGUUCAUUCAUAUCUGCAAUUCAAUUUCAUAUUCAUCAAUGUUUGUCCAUAUUCCUUUGUUGAAUUGAACUUUGCUUGGUUUGUUCUGUGUUUAUUAUGCAGAUUGCUUUGGAUUGAGAUCAAUGUCAGCGACUUUGGGGUUGUGGUAUGAUUUUCCUGACCUUACUCUUUCACGAACAUGACAACACCUAAUUUUUGAACAAAGUUUGGUUGGAUGGAUGGUUGGUUGGUUAUUCUCAGUAUGAGGUCAGAUAUUACAACUACUGAUUUACACUUGGGAAGGUGCAUAUUUAUAUGUAUGAGUUUUAGUUCAUAAUUUUGAUGGUGUUCUAGCUUUGACUGACUGGUUUUUUAGGCUGCAAUUGUUUUCAUGUUGCAAUCCUCUUUUUUUACUCGGCGAACUGUUAGAAUUGCUGAAAUAAAUCUUGGGUUAUGAUUUAUUGUUGACAUAAGUAAUUCAUGCUUCCCCUGUUUUUAGUUGCUUAAAAAUAUUUAGGAAAUCUUAGAUUAGUAUUAAUAAUGCCUUUCAUGUAAAUUUGUUAAAUUAGAUUGAUAUUUACUUACUUAUUUUACGAUAGGAAACUUAUAAAGAUAAAUGACUAAUUUAAAAUGUGAUUCUUUUAUUGUAAGCACUCAAAUCUUUUAUUUUAGUGACAUUUAUUUUACACCACACUUGUAUAUAUAGUACACUUUAACACACACUUUUUGGGACACUUUUUUUUAUACUCUCACCCUUUUUAGAACACACUUGUUGGUACAUACACCUUCAGCUACUCCAGGCCCCUAUUAUACUACUCAAAGUUUGUUUACACUGAUUCUCGCUCUCUUUUAGGGUUUUUGUAUUAAUUUUUUUUUUCUAGGUGAUCAUGACAAUUAAUGAUUUCUUUCAAAUUCUUAUUUAGUUGUCCUUAGUUUUCUACUAUUUUCAAGAGUUUCUAUUAGAUUUUUGUGAGGUUUUUGGUUUUACAUUUUCUUAGUAUUUCCACUCUUGCAUUUGACUUAGAGAUAUCUUUCUGGGUUUUACAUAGCAUUUCUGCUCUUGCAUUUGCCUCUCCUUUCUCUCGUUGUAUUUUAAGUAUUCAAUUGUUUCCAUGUGUUUCCGGUACUAUUGUUUUGGUGUUUUUGGUAUAUUCUUUCUCCUUAGAUGAUGAAGGAGUAUAUUGUGGGUUGCUGACCCUGGAUUGUGAAAAAGGUGUAAACUAUUUGUUUCGUUUCAUAUUUAAUUUUCCUUGCUCAAUUGUAUGCAUGCUCCUUCGCAACAUUUGCAUUUUGUUUGAUCUUUUCAGGCUUUCAACUUUCCUGAACAUCAACUUGAUUACUUUGGAUUUAUUUAAAAAAAUCACUUAAAACUUUGGAGGGGAUGUUGUAUUAAUAUUCAAGGUCUAUUAUAAUUACUUAAGGGCUGUCUGUAUUUAUGAUUUCUAUACACGACCUUGGGGUAUGAAUUCCAUCUUGAGUUUCUCGAAUCUUCUUCUAAAUAACUAACUUGUUUGGACUAGAAACAACAUUGUGGGCAGGUUUUUUAAGAUUCAAGUUUCUAAUGAUCAGCCAUUGUGAAUUGGUAUAUCUUAUUAGAGCACUUUCAACUGUUGAUUUACACUAGGGAUAUAUCUUAUUUUUGAUAUUUUUGUUGGCAGACUUGAUUUUGAUUUCUCUGAAUGAGUUUUUUUAUUUGUUUGAUGGUGUCCUAGCUUUGGUUCAAACUGAUUGGUUUUUAUACUGCACUUGUCUCGGUGGAGUUUUAGACUUGCUGAUAGAAGUUCGUUUGGUAGUGAUAUAUCAAACAUUUGUGUAUUCUCUCUUCUUUUGGAUGGUUUUGUUUGAAAGUAUAUUUACUUUUUGUCUAUAGUUGAAAUAUGUGUAUUCUCUGUUCUAGAUGGUUUUGGUCUAUAGUUGAAAUUUGUGUAUUUUUCUUUAAACCAAUUAUAUAUAUCUUGAUAACUGUAUCAGUGAUUUAAAAGUUAUUUAUUUUUAAGUUUUGUAUUGUAAUUAUUAUUAUUAUUAAUUAAUUAACAAUGCCACAAUGGUACGAUGAGAGUGGUAUAAAUUGAAGUAACUUUACUUACAAUCAUUUUUUUAGGACUUGUUCAGUUUGUAUUGGCUUUAUCAUUACUUGAACAAAAUUUAGUUAUCACAUUUCAUUUAUGUUUACGACAUAUGUGAUAAACAAUUUUCUUAGGCCAAAAGGUUCAGUAAGCUUUAUUUAAAAAUGGAGGAUCAAUCUGUUAAAAGAAGAAUGCAGGAUUAUCCUUUUUUGUACUUCCAUGGGUGAGAUUUUGAAUGUUUCAAUUUGUUUUUUGUCAAACAAUUUUUUUUUUUCUUUUUUUCUAAAAAAGACCACGUUUCUUCCAUUUUAACAUAAUUAUAUACAUUUUUUAUUUUGUAAAAAAAAUACCACAUUAAAUAAUACUGCAGAUUGAUAUAUUUAUUUUUUCAAUAUAUAUUAAGUGCUUUAAUUUAUGUUAUUCAAUUUGAAAUCAAAAUGGGGUGAAUUUGUUAUGAUUAAAACAACGGAUUUUUUUUAAUACUUAUCUGCCAAUUUUGUAUGAUUAUUUUUUGUUUAUUUUCUUUAAAGUUUUUUACACAGCAAAGAAAUUAUUAUAGAUCCAUUAUUAUUUUUACUAAUAACUUUCUCUUACAAUUUUUAUUUUGUGUUUAUGAAAUAUUUUUCUAACAACUUAUUUGUUUUGCAGGCUCUAGAACUACAUGGAGCUUGAUCCCUGUAAAGGGUAUGUAGGCAACUUAUUUUUAUAAGUGCAGCUCCAAUUUUUUUAUUUUAUUUUUUUCUUUCUGAACAAUGCAGAAGUAGCUCCAAAAAGUACUUUAAUUUCGUUGGUUUCUCAGUAUAAGGUUUGAUUCUUGGCAUUAUCAUUUUAGGCACUGGUUUGGUUUGAUUGUAGGUUGGUUGUAUUAAACUAUUAGUGUCAGGUCCGAUGCUCGGUUUGGUUCUUUAUCUUUAGUUUAUUUCCCUGUAACAUUUUAUUUGCAUUUGACGUAGGUUUCUUGUUUUCAAUAAUGAGUUAGAUUUUUUUCUUUUAACAAUAUCUUAGUUUUAUUUCCUGUUAGCUUUUGAUGUGUACAACACUUCAACACCUAGUAAGGUCAGAUACUACAAUUCCAUUAAAUGUUGAUUUUUGCUUGGUACAUUGCAUUUAUCUAGUUUUCUUUGGGUUGUUUUCAGUUUGUUUCAAUUUUUUCAAAAUGGUGGUUUUUUCUUUUUUGGAUUAUCAUUGCAUCUGUACUCUUACAUUUACAUUUACCUCUCAUUUUUUGUGCUGUUACAUUUUUUUUGGGCGAUCUAGAAUAUGUUGUAAAAGUGAACAGGUUGGUGGUGUAAUCUAAUAAGAUUUUACGCAUAAAUUUUUGAUUGGCAUUGGAUUUAGACAUGUGGCCUUUGGGUAUGUGUUCCAGCUUUCAAGUCUAUUGAGGUUUUUUUUCUCUUUUUUCUGAACAAUGCAGAAGUAUACUCGAGUUAGAUAAAUUUAUUUUAAAUUUUUUAGUGAUUAGUUUUAUAAGUACUCAUUUUUUUCUCUUUCAAUAAUAUAUCUAUUAUAUUUAAAACUUCUAUUUACAUUUUUCUUAUAUAAUUGGUAGUGAAAUUAUGUAUCUUUAUGCAGUGCACACCAACGCUUAUGAACUCGUUUGAUUCUCCAUAUAGUUCUUCUAAUUAUUUGUGGUUAUGGAUCUGACCCAUUCCUUAAUGCUUUAUUAAUAUCUUAGGUAUAUAUUUGUAUCUUUGUUUUGUUUCCUUGUAACAUUUUAUUUGUGCAGAACUUGACAACCUAGGUUCGUUAACAAAGUUUGGUUGGACCGUAGGUUGAUUGUUCUCAGUAACAAGUUAGAUUUUUUUUUCCUUUUUAACAAUAUCUUAGGUUUAUUUCCUGGUAGCUUUUGAUGUGUUGAGCAUUAGAACACCUAGUUGUGACUUGGUUUGGUCUCUCUAUAUUUUUCUUGUCUUGGUGAUUUUGGGUGAUUUAGAAUACAUUUUAAAGGUGAAUAGGUUGGAGUCAUCUAAUAUGGUUUACACAAAUUUUUUUAUUGCCAUUGAAUUUCAGCAUGUGGCCUUGGGUAUUUAUUCCAACUUUCGUGUUUGUUUAAUUUUCUUCUGAAUAAACUGCAGAGUUGGGCUUGGAACAACAUUGUAAAUUUGUGAGCAAAGUUUGGUUGGAUCGAUGGUUGGUUAUUCUCAGUUUGAGGUUAGAAAUUUGAUUUUGAUCAACAUCUUUGGUUUAUUUCCUGUAACUUUUGAUGUGUGCAGAGCAUUACAACUGCUGAUUGUGUACUACUAUUUCUCGAUAUAAGGUCCGAUAUUACAAUAUCUUCAAUUAUUGAUUUACACUUGGAAAGUUUCAUGUUUCUUUGUAUGCAUUUAGUAUAUUCGAUUUUUAUCUGAAUAAGUUUUUGUUCAUGUUUUUGAUGGUAUCGUAGCUUUGGCUCGAACGGACUGGUUUUUAAGGCUGCAAUUGUCUUAGCUUGGGUUAUUGUUGACAUAAAGUAUUAUCAAGAUCUGAACCUGGAUCUCUUUCUCUCCUUUCUUUAGUGUUGAAUCUCCUUCUUGCUGAAUGUCUUUCUUCACGAUCUUCCUCACUAUGAUUGAGGUAUCACUUGCUGUGUGUGGGCACUACUCUAUCACUAAGAGGUUCGAAAUUUAUAAGAGAGAAGAAAGAGGUGAAGGUGGCGGCUAGGUAUAGAGAGAAGGCUCAGGUUUUUCUCUGAAGGAAACAAGAUGUGAAAGUGUUGUAUUUCCUGAAGCCUUCACUAUCUAUUUAUAGCAUACCACCUAGGGUUAGGUUUGAAUUAUUUGGCAUUAAAAUAAUAAAAAUAUCAGAUGAUACUCCCUAUAAAAGUGGCCGGCCAUGGCAUUAUGGAUUUGGGCUUCACUUUUUACAAUUUUGCUGUUUUAUCAUUUCUUCAUCUCAUUUUCUCAAAAAUGCCAAUUUUCAAAUUCAACCAUUUAAAUGUCAAUUCUAACUAUUUAAUAACUAUAAAUAAUUAUUAAAUAAUAUUGUCAUUUAUCAUAUUUAUUAAUUGAACCAUACAAAGUAUCUUAAUUAACAAAUAUGCCCUAAAAACUUUCUUUACCAUUCGCCCUUACUUAGUGAAAAAUUCACAAAUAGACAUAGUCUAAUUUGAGAAUUAUAAUUGAUUAAUCAAAACCAAUUAAAUGAGUCUUACAAGUAAUAUUGUCUCAACUAGUGGGGGACCAUGAUUUUAUUAAACCGAGCUUCCAAUAAGUAGAUCAAGAAUUUAUAACCUAAAUUCACUGACUUAUUAAUUUUUCGUUGAAUCCACGCAUAAAACUUAGAAUCGCACUCUCAGUAUAUAGAACGCUCUAUAUGUUCCACCAUAUAGACACGUCAUUUGUUAUCCAUUGUUAUAAUCCUAAUUUGAUCAAUGAUCCUCUAUAUGAAUGAUCUACACCGUAAAGGGUUUAAAUUACCGUAACCGAAUUUACCAAGUAAAUUUCCUAACUUAUUAAUUGCUUAUUGAAUCUACACUUAGAACUUGGAAUUGCAGUCUCAGUCAUAUAGAACGCUCUAUAUGUUCCACGAUAUAAAUACGCUAUUAAUUAUCCAUUGUUAUAAUCCUAAUUUGAUCAAUGACCCUCUAAUAGAUGAUCUACAUUGAAUAGGACUAAAUUACCGUUACACCUUCAAUGUAUUUUAUCCUUAAAACACUUGGCUCCGUAUAAAUGAUAUUUCAGCGAAGUGAAAUGAGAUCUCAACCAUUUAUCUCUGUUUAGCCAAGCUCGAAGGAUAUCAUCGUUUCACUUCUAAAUUCCUAUAGAAGUUAUAGACUCUAUAUUUAUGUUAGCGCUCCCACUCAAUUAUACU